CACCUUUACCAUUUCAGGAAGUCACCCCUCCCACCCGCUGCCCUCUGAGAGGGGUACCUGCUGAGGCUGUUGGCAGUUGUCUUACUGGGUGACUUGACUUUGGGGAGGCAGGUGGGAAUCUAUUUGCCUGAGAAAGUUGUAAAUCCUGAGUCUCCUAGAUCUCUUUGGAAGACGCCAGCAAACUCCCCAGACAACUGCUCUGCCCCAGUACAAACUGACAUCUGUGCUGAAAGGGAAAAGUGGGCCUUUGGGCCCCGGGUGGUAACAACGGACCACAGGGCACGCGCCUGGCCCACCCUGAUCCCUGGCGCACCGGGGAGCCAAAAAGAUCACAAGGCCACAGGGCGUGGCGCGUGGGCUGUGGCUCCCUCAUGGAUCCCUCAUGCCCACUGAUGAAGCAAAGACCAAGACCCGAGGAUGCAAGCAGCUGCCUCCAGCUCUGCUGCCUUCGUGCCCUGGCAGCUACAAGGAGUCAAGUGUGGGUGCCAGGGAUCAUGGAAGCCUAGAACAUGGAAGCCCCACUUCCGAUGUUAAAAAGAAAGCCAACAGAGAGCUUGUGCCGCCUUGUCAGCCAACAAGAAACAGUGAUUUUUUUCCAGAGUGGAAGAGGAGAAGAACUAAAAUUAAUAUGGAUGGCUGUUAUCUCAAGGAAACCAGCUCUUCAUUUUAAGUCAGAAUAAUAGAAAAGAACUGUGUCGAUACUUUGGCAUCAACAGGCUACGGCAGGAUGUCCCCACCCCACCAGACCUCUGAACUCCCAGGACCACCAGUCUCUUGAGGGUUAGGUACAUCUUCUCUGACUGAACUCAGACCUGGAGUCCUCUGCUGCACACGUGUUGGAGGCCUCAUCUCAGCUGGUGUAUGCU